rnacentral:rRNA from 1 species
UACGUAGGGUGCAGGCGUUAAUCGGAAUUACUGGGCGUAAAGCGUGCGCAGGCGGUUCUAUAAGACAGAUGUGAAAUCCCCGGGCUCAACCUGGGAACUGCAUUUGUGACUGUAGAGCUGGAGUACGGCAGAGGGGGAUGGAAUUCCGCGUGUAGCAGUGAAAUGCGUAGAUAUGCGGAGGAACACCGAUGGCGAAGGCAAUCCCCUGGGCCUGUACUGACGCUCAUGCACGAAAGCGUGGGGAGCAAACAGG